rnacentral:rRNA from 1 species
GAUGAACGCUAGCGGGAGGCUUAACACAUGCAAGUCGAGCGGUAUAGGUAGCAAUACUUAGAGAGCGGCGCACGGGUGAGUAACGCGUAUGCAACCUACCUUUUACAGAGGGAUAGCCCGGAGAAAUUCGGAUUAAUACCACAUGGCACUAUAGACCUGCAUGGGUUUAUAGUUAAAGAUUUAUCGGUAAGAGAUGGGCAUGCGUGACAUUAGCUAGUUGGUAGGGUAACGGCCUACCAAGGCGACGAUGUCUAGGGGUUCUGAGAGGAUGAUCCCCCACACUGGUACUGAGACACGGACCAGACUCCUACGGGAGGCAGCAGUGAGGAAUAUUGGUCAAUGGGCGCAAGCCUGAACCAGCCAUCCCGCGUGAAGGAUGAAGGCCCUAUGGGUCGUAAACUUCUUUUAUAUGCCAAGAAAACGACCUACGUGUAGGUUUUUGACGGUAGUAUAUGAAUAAGCAUCGGCUAACUCCGUGCCAGCAGCCGCGGUAAUACGGAGGAUGCGAGCGUUAUCCGGAUUCAUUGGGUUUAAAGGGUGCGUAGGCGGUUUUUAAGUCAAAUGGUGAAAUCCUGCGGCUCAACCGUAGAACUGCCAUUGAAACUGAGGAACUUGAAUAUAAUUGA